CUACGGAGGAUCCGAGCGUUAUCCGGAUUUAUUGGGUUUAAAGGGUGCGCAGGCGGCCAUUUAAGUCAGCGGUUAAAUCGUGGGGCUCAACCCCAUUCUGCCGUUGAUACUGGGUGGCUUGAUUGCGGUCGAGGUUGGCGGAAUUCGUUGUGUAGCGGUGAAAUGCAUAGAUAUGACGAAGAACACCGAUUGCGUAGGCAGCUGACCAGACCGCAAAUGACGCUCAUGCACGAAAGUGCGGGGAUCGAACAGGAUUAGAUACCCUGGUAGUCCGCACAGUAAACGAUGAAUACUUGUUUUCGGCGAUAUAAUGUUGGAGGCAAAGCGAAAGCGAUAAGUAUUCCACCUGGGGAGUACGCCGGCAACGGUGAAACUCAAAUGAAUUGGCGGGG
rnacentral:rRNA from 1 species